UCGAUGAAGAACGCAGCGAAAUGCGAUAAGUAAUGUGAAUUGCAGAAUUCAGUGAAUCAUCGAAUCUUUGAACGCACCUUGCGCUCCUUGGUAUUCCAAGGAGCAUGCCUGUUUGAGUGUCAUUA
rnacentral:rRNA from 1 species